rnacentral:rRNA from 1 species
UACCCACUAUGCUCAGCCCUAAAAUUCGAUAGGUCACUACGCCCCCUAUCCGCCCGGGUACUACGAGCAUCAGCUUGAAACCCAAAGGACUUGGCGGUGCUUCACAUCCGUCUAGAGGAGCCUGUCCUAUAACCGAUAACCCCCGUUAAACCUCACCCUCCCUUGUUAAUCCCGCCUAUAUACCGCCGUCGUCAGCCUANCCUGUGAAGGACUAGAAGUGAGCAAGAUUGGUAAGACCCAAAACGUCAGGUCGAGGUGUAGUAUAUGAGAGGGGAAGAGAUGGGCUACAUUUCCUAAAUCAGGAAAUACGAACAAUGAACUGAAAUAAGCAUUAGAAGGUGGAUUUAGCAGUAAGCAGAGAAACAGAGUGUCCUGCUGAAG